GGAGGGUUGCUAAAUGGUCUCCUCUUUACCCUACCUGUGUGUCAUCUUGACCAGACACACAACCAAUGACUGCUUCCCAGACAGUUCUUAUUUCUGCCUGACACAAGAGCUGCUGGGGUUACAGCAGGGCAGCGAAGGACGGGGAGAAGUGCAGGUGACUGUGUGGCUACGGGAAUCAGCAGGCCUGCCCCCAGGACUGGGUAGGAUUCAGCACUUCCAGUCCAGCAAUAAGGGCCUCCAGGCGGAAGGCACACUGAAGGCGUAGCCUAGGCAGCCCCUUAGAUACUCCUCCAGCCAACUAGAGAGAAAACCUCCUGCAGAAAUGUCUGAGAGACGGAUCCAGGGCCACGCUGGAUGAAUGGGACAAACUAUGAGGACACGGUCAAGAGGAGAGAAGGACUGGCCAGGCGCGGUGGCUCACGCCUGUAAUCCCAGCAGUUUGGGAGGACAAGGCAGGCAGAUUACCUGAGGUCAAGAGUUUGAGACCAGCCUGGCCAACAUGGUGAAACUGCGUCUUUACUAAAAAUACAAAAAUUAGCUAGGCAUUGUGGCAGAUGCCUAUAAUCCCAGCUACUCGGGAGGCUGAGGGAGAACUGCUUGAACCUGGGAAGCAGAGGUUGCUGUGAGCCAAGAUCACGCCAUUGCACUCCAGCCUGGGGGACAAGAGUGAGACUUUCUCUUAAAAAAAAAAAAAAAAAGAUGCAUUGAAGGAAGACUCGGCAGAGAACUAACACGAGGGCAAGGGCUCUUCAGUGAUGAACGAAAAGU
rnacentral:lncRNA from 1 species